CCUACGGGUGGCAGCAGUGAGGAAUAUUGGUCAAUGGACGAGAGUCUGAACCAGCCAAGUAGCGUGAAGGAUGACUGCCCUAUGGGUUGUAAACUUCUUUUAUAUGGGAAUAAAAUGUUCCACGUGUGGGAUUUUGUAUGUCCCAUAUGAAUAAGGAUCGGCUAACUCCGUGCCAGCAGCCGCGGUAAUACGGAGGAUCCGAGCGUUAUCCGGAUUUAUUGGGUUUAAAGGGAGCGUAGGUGGAUUGUUAAGUCAGUUGUGAAAGUUUGCGGCUCAACCGUAAAAUUGCAGUUGAAACUGGCAGUCUUGAGUACAGUAGAGGUGGGCGGAAUUCGUGGUGUAGCGGUGAAAUGCUUAGAUAUCACGAAGAACUCCGAUUGCGAAGGCAGUUCACUGGACUGCAACUGACACUGAGGCUCGAAAGUGUGGGUAUCAAACAGGAUUAGAUACCCGAGUAGUC
rnacentral:rRNA from 1 species